rnacentral:rRNA from 1 species
CGGCGCAUGUCUACCAUGCAGUCGACGGCAGCACGUUAAGAGCUUGCUCUUACGGGUGGCGAGUGGCGGACGGGUGAGGAAUACAUCGGAAUCUACUUUUUCGUGGGGGAUAACAUAGGGAAACUUACGCUAAUACCGCAUACUACCUACGGGUGAAAGCAGGGGAUCUUCGGACCUUGCGCGAUUGAAUGAGCCGAUGUCGGAUUAGCUAUUUGGCGGGGUAAAGGCCCACCAAGGCGACGAUCCGUAGCUGGUCUGAGAGGAUGAUCAGCCACACUGGAACUGAGACACGGUCCAGACUCCUACGGGAGGCAACAGUGGGGAAUAUUGGACAAUGGGCGCAAGCCUGAUCCAGCCAUACCGCGUGGGUGAAGAAGGCCUUCGGGUUGUAAAGCCCUUUUGUUGGGAAGGAAAUCCAGCCGGCUAAUACCUGGUUGGGAUGACGGUACCCAAAGAAUAAGCACCGGGCCAACUUCGUGCCAGCAGCCGCGGUAAUACAAAGGGUGCAAGCGUUACUCGGAAUUACUGGGCGUAAAGCGUGCGUAGGUGGUCGUUUAAGUCUGUCGUGAAAGCCCUGGGCUCAGCUGUGAACUGCAGUGGAAACUGGACGACUAGAGUGUGGUAGAGGGUAGCGUGAUUCCUGGUGUAGCAGUGAAAUGCGUAGAGAUCAGGAGGAACAUCCAUGGCCCAUGGCACCUACCUGGACCAACACUGACACUGCGCACGAAAGCGUGGGAAGCAAACACGAUUAGAUACCCUGCUAGUCCACUCCCUAAACGAUGCUAACUGGUAUGUUGUCUGCAAUUUCGACACUCACUAUCGAAGCUGCCCCCUAGUAGCCCGCCUGGGGAGUACGGUCCCAGACUGAUAACUCAGAGAAAUUU